rnacentral:rRNA from 1 species
UACGAAGGGUGCAAGCGUUGUUCGGAUUUACUGGGCGUAAAGCGUCCGUAGGUGGUUUGUUAAGUCAGAGGUGAAAUCCCGGGGCCCAACCCCGGAACUGCCUUUGAUACUGGCAGGCUGGAGCGUGAUAGAGGAAGAUGGAACAUCUGGUGUAGGGGUGAAAUCCGUAGAUAUCAGAUAGAACACCAAUGGCGAAGGCAGUCUUCUGGAUCAUCGCUGACACUGAGGGACGAAAGCGUGGGUAGCAA